ACGUAAUCGCAUCUAUUCGGCUCACUCCUCGCACGCCGCGAAAGGCACAGAACCGCCGGUCCCCAAUGGAGAACGGCGCCGCCGCCGUGGCCGCGUGGAACUUCGCUCCGAACGACGCCCUCCUCGGCCUGACGGCGCUCUCCGUGCGCGGCGUGCUGGGCAAAGUGAAGGCCGGGAUGGUGGAGGGCAGCGGCGCCGGCGGCGCGCGCCCCGUGGUCCCGCUGGGCCACGGCGACCCGUCGGCGUUCCCGUGCUUCCGGACGGCGCCGGAGGCCGUGGGCGCCGUCGCCGGCGCGCUCCGGUCCGGGGAGUACAACUCCUACGCCGCCUGCGUCGGCCUGGAGCCAGCACGGAGGUCUAUAUCACAGUAUUUGUCGCGCGACCUGCCAUACGAGCUAUCAGCCAACGACGUCUACCUGACAAGCGGUUGCGCCCAAGCGAUCGAGGUCGUCUGCUCUGCCCUGGCUCGCCAUGGCGCCAACAUCCUGCUCCCAAGGCCGGGCUACCUGUUCUACGAGGCGCGCGCCGUCUUCAACGGGAUGGAGGCCCGGUACUUCGACCUCGUACCGGAGAGAGGCUGGGAGGUCGACCUCGAUGGCCUGCAAGGCACUCGGUGACGGGAACACGGUCGCCAUGGUCAUCGUCAACCCGGGGAACCCCUGUGGCAACGUCUACACCUAUGAGCAUUUGGGCAAGAUUGCGGAGAUGGCGAGGAAGCUGGGUAUCUUUGUGAUUGCGGAUGAAGUGUAUGCGCACUUGACGUUUGGGAAGAAGAAGUUUGUGCCAAUGGGCGUGUUCGGCUCGGUGGCGCCGGUGCUCACUCUGGGAUCCAUAUCAAAGAGAUGGGUGGUGCCUGGAUGGAGACUUGGCUGGAUAGUAUGCAAUGAUCCUAAUGGUGUAUUUCACAAAACCAAGGUAGUGGACAGCAUCAAGAGUUACCUUGACAUCUCCUCUGAUCCUCCAACUUUUGUCCAGGGGGCAAUUCCGCAACUCAUCAAAAACACUAAGCAAGAAUUUUUCGAUAAAACUGUCGAGGUUCUAAGACAAACCGCCGAUAUAUGCUGGGAGAAGUUGAAGGGAGUCAGCUGCAUCACUUGCCCCAGCAGGCCUGAGGGUUCCAUGUUUGUAAUGGUGAAACUGGAUCUGUCCUGCCUGAAAGACAUCAAAGAUGAUAUGGAUUUCUGCUGCCGGCUUGCCAAGGAAGAAUUGGUGGUGGUUUUGCCAGGAUGUGCUGUGGGAUACAAGAAUUGGCUCCGGAUCACCUUCGCAAUCGCACCAUCUUCUCUUGAAGAUGGCCUUGACAGGCUCAAAUCCUUCUGCUUGCGCCACAGCAAGCAAAAGUGAUGUGGUAAGCUUGAAGUGUUCAAGAAGUGAUAUGAUAAGGAUUUAAUCGCACCAUCUUCUCUUGAAGAUGGCCUUGACAGGCUCAAAUCCUUCUGCUCAGUCAUCACUUGCUAUUCUUGCAACUCCUGUUGUAACGCCAGUGUGCGCAGGUGCACUGUUCUUGAAUACAUGACGGAUUAUACGAGAAUGACAGAUUCUGUUCACAUUGACAGUUAAUAAACAUGCUAAAGAUAAAUUUCUUCCAA